AUGCAAGUCGAGGGGGCCCGCAAGGGCAACCGGCAGACGAGGUCAGUAACACGUACGAACGUACCCCAGAGUCUGGCAUAGCUCACCGAAAGGUGAGGUAAUUCCAGAUGGUCCCGCAAGGGUAAAGGUUUUUCGCUCUGGGAGCGGCGUGCGCAGUAUCAGCUAGUUGGUAGGGUAACGGCCUACCAAGGCUACGACGCUUAGGGGAGCUGAGAGGCUGACCCCCACCGAGGGAACUGAGACACGGUCCCUACUCCUACGGGAGGCUGCAGUCGAGAAUAUUUCGCAGUGGACGAAAGUCUGACGGAGCGACAUCGCGUGCUGGAUGAAGUGCUUCGGUACGUAAACAGCUUUUAUGUGGGACGAAAUCAUUGACGGUACCACAUGAAUAAGGGGCUCCUAACUCUGUGCCAGCAGGAGCGGUAAUACAGAGGCCCCAAGCGUUAUCCGGAAUCACUGGGCGUAAAGGGUGUCAAGGCGGUCGUAUUAGUCGUUUGUAAAAUCCGUGGGCUCAACCUACGGACGGCAAGCGAAACGGUACGGCUUGAGGUUUGGAGAGGUGCAUGGAACUCACGGUGUAGGGGUGAAAUCCGUUGAUAUCGUGGGGAACACCAAAGGCGAAGGCAGUGCACUGGCCAAAAUCUGACGCUCACACACGAAAGCUAGGGUAGCGAACGGGAUUAGAUACCCCGGUAGUCCUAGCCCUAAACGCUGCUCGCUCGUUUUACGGAGUAUCGACCCUCUGUGAGACUAAGCUAACGCGGUAAGCGAGCCGCCUGGGUAGUACGAGCGCAAGCUUAAAACUCAGAGGAAUAGACGGGGGACUCGCACAAGGGGGUGGAUCAUGUGGCUUUAUUUCGUCGAUAAGCCGAAGAACCCUUACCAGGGGCUAGAAAUCCCAGCUGCAUCCCAGCAGAAACGUUGGGAGCUCUUUCGAGGGUGCUUGGACAGAUGAUGCAUGGUUGUCGUCAGUUUCGUUGCUUUGAGCUUGCUUCCCUUCAGAGGGGAUAAACGAAACGGCCAACCCCCUCU
rnacentral:rRNA from 1 species